rnacentral:rRNA from 1 species
AAAUAUGCUAGUCCUUUCAUGAUUAUGUGAUAGGUGGUGCAUGGCCGUUCUUAGUUCGUGGAGUGAUCUGUCUGCUUAAUUGCGUUUCACUAUAAGGAUCUAUAUUCUUUACAGUGUGCAGUGCAUUGACCCCUUCUUCGGAAGCGUGUGUCUUUACGCUCACACUUCAUUAGGUCCUGAAAGCAACGAACGUGACCGCAACCUCUUGUUGCCUCUGUGCUCCUACACGCUCAAUGCGCUAAACACUGGUUUUCUUCGGAAGCUUAGUGCGUUGGUUGAGGCUUUCUUAAACUAGAGGGACCGCUGUCAACUUCUUAAACCAGAGGAAGGUUGCGGCAAUAACAGGUCUGUGAUGCCCUUAGAUGUUCCGGGCUGCACACGUGCUACAAUGAUUGUUGCAGUGAGCAUCUCAAUUCUUUACCACACCGCACACGUGAGUCUUUAACGUUUUGUUAAUGCACUUUACGCAGCGGUAACGCCUGCUUCGAGAGCAAGUGGGUAAUCAAUUAGAAGUAACGAUUUCCCAAGUUAGCACACUUAUAUACGGCGUUUAUGCCCGGGUUUCACUCGUUGAUUCCUUUGUGCGCGUAGAUGGAUUCUUCCGUAUGUGCAAUUGUCAAUUCAUGGUGGGGACAGACCAUUGUUAAUUGUUGGUCUCGGUCUUAACUAGGAAUGCCUUGUACGGGUCUUUGGUUCAACAAACCACCCGGAAUACGUCCCUGCCCUUUGUACACACCGCCCGUCGCUCUUACCGAUGGACUUCUCUGUGAGUUUGA